GCUUUUGUAGCUCAGUUGGUAGAGCAAUGCCAUGGUAAGGCAGAGGUCGGCGGUUCGAUUCCGCUCGAAAGCU
rnacentral:tRNA from 2 species